GGGACCCCAACUGGUAAUUUGAAGGAAUCACAAGGAACGAGUACUUUCAUGACAUCCUCUGCUCUGUGAGGCAAGAAGAAUUGUCAUUUCAAAGGGACUUCGGUAACAUGCUAUGAAAGUAUUUGAAGGAUACUGAAUAAUUGGCAUUUAUGAACAAAUGGAGCUCUGGCCAAGGAAAAAAAACUUGUCCUGC